GAUGAACGCUGGCGGCGUGCUUAACACAUGCAAGUCGAACGACGAUCCGGUGCUUGCACCGGGGAUUAGUGGCGAACGGGUGAGUAACACGUGAGUAACCUGCCCUUAACUCUGGGAUAAGCCUGGGAAACUGGGUCUAAUACCGGAUAUGACUGAUCAUCGCAUGGUGGUUGGUGGAAAGCUUUAUUGUGGUUUUGGAUGGACUCGCGGCCUAUCAGCUUGUUGGNGAGGUAAUGGCUUACCAAGGCGACGACGGGUAGCCGGCCUGAGAGGGUGACCGGCCACACUGGGACUGAGACACGGCCCAGACUCCUACGGGAGGCAGCAGUGGGGAAUAUUGCACAAUGGGCGCAAGCCUGAUGCAGCGACGCCGCGUGAGGGAU
rnacentral:rRNA from 1 species